rnacentral:rRNA from 1 species
ACAUCCACGGAAGACUGCAGAGAUGCGGUUGUGCCUUCGGAACCGUGAGACAGGUGCUGCAUGGCUGUCGUCAGCUCGUGUUGUGAAAUGUUGGUUAAGUCCCGCAACGAGCGCAACCUUAUCCUUGUGCCAGCGGUCCGGCCGGGAACUCAAAGGAGACUGCCAGUGAUAAACUGGAGGAAGGUGGGGAUGACGUCAAGUCAUCAUGGCCCUUACGACCAGGGCUACACACGUGCUACAAUGGCAUAUACAAAGAGAAGCGACCUCGCGAGAGCAAGCGGACCUCAUAAAGUAUGUCGUAGUCCGGAUUGGAGUCUGCAACUCGACUCCAUGAAGUCGGAAUCGCUAGUAAUCGUGGAUCAGAAUGCCACGGUGAAUACGUUCCCGGGCCUU